GAAAUGCGAUACGUGGUGUGAAUUGCAGAAUCCCGUGAACCAUCGAGUCUUUGAACGCAAGUUGCGCCCGAGGGACCCUCCCGAGGGCACGCCUGCCUCAUGGGCGUUAGAAGCCCAUCCACGCUCGGCUGCCUCCGAGGCAGAGACGCGGACAUUGGCCCUCCGAACCGCGAGGUGCGGUGGGCCUAAGUGUGCGGCCGUCGUAUUCGGCCGGGAGCGGCGAGUGGUGGGCUACAGCGCACGCCGCCCCGAGCCCCGUACCGACGCAGGGCCUUUCCGGACCCCUGACGAGGAGCACGCCGCGGCCUGCGCCGCGCGGCGCCUCCGGACCGAUACCCCAGGUCAGGCGGGGCUACCCGCUGAGUUUAA
rnacentral:misc_RNA from 1 species